GAUUACAAAGCUAAUAAUCCACUAGGGUCAAUUUGAAACGAUACAGAGAAGAUGUAAGUCGAGACUGCGAAGGUCGUGCGUUCGAAUCUCCUCCGACCGCAUUACUGACAACCCUCUAGUAGCAUGGCCCCUGCACUAAGGAUGACACGCGUAAGUUGUCUCUCCAAACACUGACUU
rnacentral:snRNA from 1 species